UACGUAGGGUGCAAGCGUUGUCCGGAAUUAUUGGGCGUAAAGAGCUCGUAGGCGGUUCGUCGCGUCGGCUGUGAAAUCCCGAGGCUCAACCUCGGGUCUGCAGUCGAUACGGGCGGACUGGAGUACUGCAGGGGAGACUGGAAUUCCUGGUGUAGCGGUGAAAUGCGCAGAGUAUCAGGAGGAACACCGGUGGCGAAGGC
rnacentral:rRNA from 1 species